rnacentral:rRNA from 1 species
ACAGAGGGUGCAAGCGUUAAUCGGAAUUACUGGGCGUAAAGCGUGCGUAGGCGGUUGUUUAAGUCGGAUGUGAAAUCCCCGGGCUCAACCUGGGAAUUGCAUUCGAUACUGGACAGCUAGAGUUCGGCAGAGGGAAGUGGAAUUUCCGGUGUAGCGGUGAAAUGCGUAGAUAUCGGAAGGAACAUCAGUGGCGAAAGCGACUUCCUGGACCAGAACUGACGCUCAGGUACGAAAGCGUGGGGAGCAAACAGGAUUAGAUACCCUGGUAGUCCACGCCAUAAACGAUGACAACUAGACGUUGGGGGCAAUUGGCCCACAGUGUCGCAGCUAACGCGUUAAGUUGUCCGCCUGGGGAGUACGGCCGCAAGGUUG